UGGGGAAUAUUGCACAAUGGGCGCAAGCCUGAUGCAGCCAUGCCGCGUGUGUGAAGAAGGCCUUCGGGUUGUAAAGCACUUUCAGUCGUGAGGAAGGUAGUGUAGUUAAUAGCUGCAUUAUUUGACGUUAGCGACAGAAGAAGCACCGGCUAACUCCGUG
rnacentral:rRNA from 1 species